rnacentral:rRNA from 1 species
UACGUAGGGGGCUAGCGUUGUCCGGAAUCAUUGGGCGUAAAGAGCGUGUAGGCGGCCCGGUCAGUCCGCCGUGAAAGUCCAGGGCUCAACCCUGGAAUGCCGGUGGAUACUGCCGGGCUGGAGUCCGGAAGAGGCGAGUGGAAUUCCUGGUGUAGCGGUGAAAUGCGCAGAUAUCAGGAGGAACACCGAUGGCGAAGGCAGCUCGCUGGGACGGUACUGACGCUGAGACGCGAAAGCGUGGGAGCAAACAGG